rnacentral:rRNA from 1 species
GUCCGCACCGUAAACGAUGAUUACUCGUUGUUGGCGAUAUGACAGUCAGCGACCAAGCGAAAGCGAUAAGUAAUCCACCUGGGGAGUACGCCGGCAACGGUGAAACUCAAAGGAAUUGACGGGGGCCCGCACAAGCGGAGGAGCAUGUGGUUUAAUUCGAUGAUACGCGAGGAACCUUACCUGGGCUUGAAAGUUAGUGACCGAUUCUGAAAGGAGUCUUUCCGCAAGGACACGAAACUAGGUGCUGCAUGGCUGUCGU